UUUUCAACUUCUUUUCCCAACUGAAAGACACAUAACAUAAGCAAAACCGAACUUAUUUUCUUCCAACAACCAAGUUGUUUUCUUCAAGAACCCCUUAUUCUUAUAGCUUCUCAAAUACCCAUUUGUCAAAACCAUUCCUUUUUGCGGUUAAAGUUUCAUCUGAUGUCGGGUUAGAAGCAUGCAAAUAAGAAGAAGAGGAGGAAGAGGAACCAACCAUAUGAAGUAGAGAUUGACCAACCUUAUGGAAUCAAAUAUGUGAAAGGAAGAUAUGGUGGAAUUUACAUUGAUUGAUGCUAUUGCACCUGGUGGAUCUGCUGAUAAGGCUGGAGUCUUCAAUGUUGGUGAUCAAGUAAUUGCCUCCAGGAAAGAUAGAAAUUGGUAGUUAGUUUACAGAUAAGGAGAUUAUCAUAGCCGAGAUGAACUCUUGUAUAUUCAGUAACAAAGUCAGAGAAAUUCAAGUAAGUUUCAUCAAAUUAAAACUACAAAAUUGUAAUUCUUAAAUUUCCAAACCCUAUUUUUAUAUAAGAUAUUUUAUUUUCUAAAGAAAGGUGUCACUACUGUAUUUCCAUGCGGGAUUACAAUUGUUUUCAUUCCUCAAACUUGUAAAAACUUCAGCAGCAAAACUACUCAUGGAAAAAUAUUUGGAAGUGCGCCGCCGGGGAAAUGAUUUGAGAGAAGUCUUACGAGUAUACAAAAUGGAAGUAUAACGUUGUAUUUCUUCUAGGAAAGUCAAGAAAAGAUGCUUUCCCCGGAUAACAUAAGAAUAUCUACUUCAUAGUCUAGAGGCUCGUGAUAUUUUUAUGGAGAUUUUUCUGUUUAACAUGCUCUAUCUGCUGCUAUGAAAAUCAGAACUGAUCCUGACCUUGCAAAUGCUUAAUAAGCCACCUAACACCAUUGUUGCUUAUUGAUACUCUAAGCUAAAUCAGGCAUG